CCUACGGGAGGCAGCAGUGAGGAAUAUUGGUCAAUGGGCGGAAGCCUGAACCAGCCAAGUAGCGUGCAGGAUGACGGCCCUACGGGUUGUAAACUGCUUUUAUACGGGAAUAACGUGCUUUACGUGUAGGGUUUUGCAUGUACCGUAUGAAUAAGGACCGGCUAAUUCCGUGCCAGCAGCCGCGGUAAUACGGAAGGUCCGGGCGUUAUCCGGAUUUAUUGGGUUUAAAGGGAGCGUAGGUGGCUUGUCAAGCGUGCUGUGAAAUGUCGGGGCUCAACCCGAGACUUGCAGCGCGUACUGGCGUGCUUGAGUCCGCGUGAGGCAGGCGGAAUUCGUGGUGUAGCGGUGAAAUGCUUAGAUAUGACGAAGAACCCCGAUUGCGAAGGCAGCUUGCUGCAGCGGAACUGACGCUGAUGCUCUAAAGCGCGGGUAUCGAACAGGAUUAGAUACCCUAGUAGUC
rnacentral:rRNA from 1 species